GACGGGGACCCGCACAAGCAGCGAGCAUGUGGUUUAAUCGAAGCAACGCGAAGAACCUUACCAGAUCUUGACAUCCAAUUGACCAUCUUUUAAUCGAGAUUUUGCCUUCGGGUACAAUUGAGACAGGUGGUGCAUGGUUGUCGUCAGCUCGUGUCGUGAGAUGUUGGGUUAAGUCCCGCAACGAGCGCAACCCUUGUGUUUUAGUUGCAAACAGGUCAAGCUGUGCACUCUAGACAGACUGCCGUGGACAACACGGAGGAAGGUGGGGAUGACGUCAAAUCAUCAUGCCCCUUAUGAUCUGGGCUACACACGUGCUACAAUGGCCGGUACAACGGGCAGCGAAGGAGCGAUCCGGAGCGAAUCCUAAAAAGCCGGUCCCAGUUCGGAUUGCAGGCUGAAACUCGCCUACAUGAAGUUGGAGUUGCUAGUAAUCGCGAAUCAGAAUGUCGCGGUGAAUGCGUUCCCGGGUCUU
rnacentral:rRNA from 1 species